rnacentral:tRNA from 2 species
GGGCGCAUAGCUCAGUUGGUAGAGCGGCUGACUCUUAAUCAGUAGGUCACAGGUUCGAAUCCUGUUGCGCCCACCA